UCGUUUUAUUUUCACUUCUGUGGUAAAAUAUAUAGGCAGUUAGCUUUGUUUUCUGCUCCGUGAAUUCAAAAUUCUUCGAUGGUAAGUCAGGAAAUAUUGCAUCUAUUUGCUAUCAAUUAAUGUAAUUUUAAGUUGAGUGCUUAUGAUAAAGUUAUAUCCGUUGACAAGCAUAUUUUGUAAAAUGCAAUAAUUGUGUCAUCUUUCAAAAUUUGGAUUUUUUUACGAUGCUUGAAAAGCCAGUUCCAGAUGUUUCUUCAGUUAUGCGUUUAUAAAGCGUGAGAUCUACAAAAUCGUAACAACAAACUGCGAUCUUUCGUCAGAUUUGAAAUCAGAAUUCGGACAGUGGUGUGUACAGUUCAGUUCAUAACUAUGAAAUGAAUUAUUCUUGAAGAACCUUUAUAAUUUCUCCUUAAUGCAGCGAGAAUUUUAAUGAUUGCCCGCCACAUUUUUGACUCGGCAUGACCGAGCAAAAACCUAUUGUCAGCACGGGCCUGAGGAAAAGAGAGAAAGUAGAGAAAGAAUGGAGAAAAUAGUGGAAGUCAAAAGUAUCGAAGAAAGGAAAAUUCUAGAAGCAAAGUUGCCAAAUAAUGAUUUGCUAAAUGGAACAUUUUUUUCUUUAGGUUGUGUGUCAUCUCAAAUUUGUUUGACUUUUAUCGGUGCUAAAAUUUGUGUGAGAAAUCAUAUGCUUUUUUUUAUCUUCCCUAAAAGAAAUACUUUUUGGUCAGUUUUACCUAUAAACAUUUCCCCUUCUGUUUUCCUA